GGUGACUCAGUGGUAGAGUGCUUGCCUUGCAAGCAUGAGGCCCUGGGUUCAAUUCCUCAGCACCU
rnacentral:tRNA from 1 species